UAGAGAUAGGGGGUCCACUUCGGUGGCGCAGAGACAGGUGCUGCAUGGCUGUCGUCAGCUCGUGUCGUGAGAUGUUGGGUUAAGUCCCGCAACGAGCGCAACCCUCGCCCUUAGUUGCCAGCAUUUAGUUGGGCACUCUAAGGGGACUGCCGGUGAUAAGCCGAGAGGAAGGUGGGGAUGACGUCAAGUCCUCAUGGCCCUUACGGGCUGGGCUACACACGUGCUACAAUGGUGGUGACAGUGGGCAGCGAGCACGCGAGUGUGAGCUAAUCUCCAAAAGCCAUCUCAGUUCGGAUUGCACUCUGCAACUCGAGUGCAUGAAGUUGGAAUCGCUAGUAAUCGCGGAUCAGCAUGCCGCGGUGAAUACGUUC
rnacentral:rRNA from 1 species